UUUGUAUUGGUUCUCACACGGAAUAAGUGAAAUUUUAGUGAACAUGAUGGAAUCGGUAUCUCCCAUGAUAUUUGAUGGCUCGGAACGAAAAACCGAGAGCAGAUCUGGAAAAACGGCGACGGCUGGGGGCAGCGGAUGCGCGACUGAUUUUCCGGCGCGUGAGAUUCACGUGCGAUGAAGGAGAGACGUGUGCGGACGCGUGCGGCGGCGGAAGGCAGUGAAUCUGGCCGAUCUGUAGGAGGCGAUUCCGGCGUAUAGGAAUCUCGUCGAAAAGUCGACAGGAGCGGCGGAGACGGCGGCGGCGCUGUGGGUGGCCGGAAAAAAAAAGAAAAAAAAAUAUUUUUGAUUUUGUGGAAGACAGUAGGUCAACCAGCUCUAGAUACCAUAUUGUAAUUGUAUCUCUGUGUGUCUAAUAUGAUCACACAUGGUGUAUAUUUAUAUGCAAAUAGGGAAUAUACAAUAGGAAAUAAUAAUAAUAUGAUCACACAUGGUGUAUAUUUAUAUGCAAAUAGGGAAUAUACAAUAGGAAAUAAUAUCAAUUACAGUUAUGACUAAUUGAAUAUCAAUCAAUACUAAUUGAUUGAUAAUAUAUUCUUAACA
rnacentral:lncRNA from 1 species